ensembl:rRNA 5S_rRNA 5S ribosomal RNA
AGUUACAGCCAUACCACCCUGAAUGUGCUCAAUCUUGUCUGAUUUCGGAAGCUAAGCAGGGUCAGGACUGAUCAGGACUUGGAUGGGAGAAAGCCAAUGUUAUAAAUA